CAGAAACACUUUGUAGAGGUAACGCGCGUCCAACAACCGACCAACUCGAGCGCUCAACCUGAACUGACGGACCAGGUAACGUUUACCAUUCCUUAAGCACUUGGUGUCUCGCUGCUGCCAAUGGGAUCUUCGGCUACAUCGCACUCGUAACCUGUUGCUGUCGUGCAAAGUGUUGCUGUUGCUGCUGCUGCUGCUGUUGCCGCUGCAGCAGAUGUUGCUUUUGCUGCUGCUGCUGCUGCCGCUGUUGCUUCUAUUGCUGCAGAGGAUUGGGUUGUUCGCUGGCACUGUGGGUGCCGAUCUGGAUGCAUGUGUAUGCUCCGCAAGAAACAAUCGAGGCAGAAACAAGCCAGGAACAUCAGGGUAUAGCACAGGCACACGAACAGCACAAUUCCGACCAGGAAUGUCAGGAUUAUUGUUAAAAACAUUCUGAUGCCACAGCUCAAUAAAUCAAACUAGCCAUUCAAUGUCUCAUAUACUU
ensembl:ncRNA lncRNA:CR45172 long non-coding RNA:CR45172